rnacentral:rRNA from 1 species
UACGGAGGGUGCGAGCGUUGUCCGGAAUCACUGGGCGUAAAGGGCGCGUAGGCGGCAUGCCAAGCGUGUGGUGAAAGCCCGGGGCUCAACCCCGGGUCGGCCGUGCGGACUGGCGUGCUCGAGCACUGUAGGGGCGGGUGGAAUUCCGGGUGUAGCGGUGGAAUGCGUAGAGAUCCGGAAGAACACCGGUGGCGAAGGCGGGUCUCUGGGCAAUUCCUGACGCUGAGGCGCGAAAGCGUGGGGAGCAAACGGG